ensembl:lncRNA
GUUAGCUUCCUUCUUCCCUCCCUGUCCCCACCACCCUAACCGCUCCUCACACUGUAAUUUGGCAGCGGCUGCUUGCAGGCCUGCUGUGCGCUUGGUCCCUGACUGACUCAGAUGCAGAUGGCAGCAGAGGCAGCCACAGGAAGUGGGAUGCAGCCUGUCACCUCUGAGACUGGCUUGUGCUUGUCAACCUCGCUGUGGACCCUGUGAGGCUACAGUCCAUUUCAGAAAUCUGAAGACCAGAGCUGGAAGGAUCUUUGGAGGUCAGCAAGGUCAAGUUCCUUUAUUUGCAGAUCAGGACUGACUGCAUCAGAAUGGCGGUUCAAAAUGGCUGAAUAACCUCCCUACCACAGUUGGGAAGACAAGAAAUUGUGCCCACGCAGCCAUCAAGCAGUCCAAUUAUAUUUUUUCACUUCAUUCCGCAAAAAUAAGAAAAAGAAAGAAAAAGAAAGAAAAAAAGCCAGCCAGCCUUGAGCUGUCUUGAAAACUCUUUGAAGUGUAGAUUUUGCGUUAAAGCUACAUCUUGUAGCUGUAGGAUGGGGCAGUGGGAAGAGAAAGGAGUGAGGAAGGGUACCAGAAGUUUGGCAAAAUGGGAUCAGGUGACCAUCUGUUUGACUGCAAGACACGAGAAAAAAGGCUAAGCCAUAAGAGUUAGUGACACAUGAGAGAAGAGGGGAGGAAUUGCCUGGAACAGCAACGUCCACAGGUCAUUUUCUCCAGAUCCCCAGGACAACAAGAAAGGAGUCAUAGACCUGGGUUCAAGCCCUGGCUAAGCCACUUACUUUUGACCGUGACCCUGAUGAAGCCAGUGACUCUCAAACUUGAGCACCAUCGGAAUCACCCUGGAGCGCUUGUUCAAACACAGAUUUCUGGUCUUACCUCCAGGGUCGCCGAUUCUGUGGGUCUGGACUGAGGCCUGAGAAUUUGCAUUGCUAAUAAUUUCUGGGUGAGGUUGCCACUGCUGGUGGUCCAGGGACUGUCUUUGGAAACCAUUGGGAUAAGCUAUUAAUCUCUUGCAACUUCCUUUUUUUCCCCAUAGGUAAAAAGAAAAUAAUCAUGGGCUUAGGGUCUGCUGGGAUUUGAAGGAUCUUGUGAAUUCAACCCUCUCCCUCUGUAGAUGAGGAAACCGAGGCUCAGAAAACAAGAUGGCGACCGGCAGAAGUGGCUGGCAUGUGUUCUGGGCUGGCCCUCUAAAGAAGCUGAAGACUGGGCCCAACCUACAACAACCAACAAGAAUGCCAACAGAUCAGCGACCACGUGGGCAAGCUGCAGUGGUGCCUGACCCCCUACACAGACCUUCAGAGUCAAUUGCUGCUGCUUCCUGUCUGCUUUCCAAAUCUCAGACAAAUUACCUUGUGACCCACCCUAACUCAGGACGAGGCAGGGAAGGGAAUUCUGAGAAACGUAGUUCCAGCUUGGCUUAAUUUACCCUACGGAACCACCACACACGGUGACAAUUAUUUUACAGACAUUAUUUCAUUUGUCUUCAAAGCAACCUCCUAUGGCAAGAGCUCGAGUUUACAGGUGGGGAAACGAAGGUUUCAGAGGCUACAUAACUUGUCUAAGAUAUAAACUUGCUUAAUGUGCAAGGGGUUUUGAAGUCAGAUCUCUGUGACAUUAAACCUGUGUUCUCACCCCUGCAUGACAGUAUACACUGAUUUUUCUCUAAGUGUUCCUCUGUCUACUCUCAUGGAAACUGUCACUGGCAUAAGUAAAAGGCUUCACACAGACUGCUCUAGGCAUAUCAGACACCCCAGAUGCUUUUCUCACCUUUCCUCAUUCCCUAGACCAGAGCUUCCUCGCUGAGGAGCUGCCAUUAGAUCAUAGGCCUGCUGGGGAUAGGCCUGGGGCAGGCGGAGCCCCUGUGAAGGUCACCUCCAGCUCUUGGCAACCUCAUGGGUUUACCCCAGUGGGUGCCAUGACGUGAAGGCCGGGGAGCAUUAGUAUGGUCUCCCAGGACAUACCUCACCUCACAGGGGUGGAAUUUACCAUCCUCUGGGAAAUGAACCUAAGAGAACUUAUGUGCAGCCUGUUAGCGUGAGAGAUACUGGCUGGAGCCUGCGGAGGAGGAAGUCUUCACGUGACACUGUCAAACUCCCGGCAGGCAGACAGGUGUCUUGGUUUUGAUUUUCGUUUUAUAAACAUUUUUCCUGCCUGUCAGUUCUCCAAAUAGAGCCAAACUCAUCUCCAUGGCAGCUGAGGCGUGAGAGCCCUAGUGAAUAUGUCAGAGCUGAGGAGAACGCUCCACUCCAAAACAGGCGUAAAAGGGAGGAAAGAAAGAGGUUUGCUCUUAUCGCAGAGUCUGGACAAUAUUGAGUAUGGCAGAGUGGUCGAGACCAGAGGUUCUGCGGUCAGACGCCUGGUCUGAAUUCCAGGUGCGCCAUCACAGAAAGACUUUGAGCAAUGACUUACUAAGAAGUGAGGCCCUUACGAAGAUGUAUGAUAUAUGUAGUGGAU